rnacentral:rRNA from 1 species
GACGAACGCUGGCGGCGUGCCUAAUACAUGCAAGUCGAGCGAAGCGGGGACGGUUGAGUACCACGUGGAAAACCUCCUUUAAGACUGGGAUAACUUCGGGAAACCGGUGGUAAAGCUGAUAUUCAUAGAUGGAUAAUCGUUGCAUUAGCGAGUUGGUAAGGUAACGGCUUACAAAGGCAACAAUGCAUAGCCGACCUGAGAGGGUGAUCGGCCACACGGGAACUGAGACACGGUCCAGACUCCUACGGGAGGCAGCAGUAGGGAAGCUUCCGCAAUGGGCGAAAGCCUGACCGAGCAACGCCGCGUGAGUGAUGAAGGUCUUCGGAUCGUAAAACUCUGUUAUUAGGGAAGCGGUACCUAAUCAGAAAGCCACGGCUAACUACGUGCCAGCAGCCGCGGUAAUAC